rnacentral:rRNA from 1 species
AUUGAACGCUGGCGGCAUGCCUUACACAUGCCAGUCGAACGGUAACAGGUCUUCGGAUGCUGACGAGUGGCGAACGGGUGAGUAAUACAUCGGAACGUGCCCGAUCGUGGGGGAUAACGAGGCGAAAGCUUUGCUAAUACCGCAUGCGAUCUACGGAUGAAAGCGGGGGAUCUUCGGACCUCGCGCGGACGGAGCGGCCGAUGGCAGAUUAGGUAGUUGGUGGGAUAAAAGCUUACCAAGCCGACGAUCUGUAGCUGGUCUGAGAGGAUGAUCAGCCACACUGGGACUGAGACACGGCCCAGACUCCUACGGGAGGCAGCAGUGGGGAAUUUUGGACAAUGGGCGAAAGCCUGAUCCAGCCAUGCCGCGUGCAGGAUGAAGGCCUUCGGGUUGUAAACUGCUUUUGUACGGAACGAAAAGCCUCUUUCUAAUAAAGAGGGGUCAUGACGGUACCGUAAGAAUAAGCACCGGCUAACUACGUG